GACUCAAUGGACAAGUGGUAAGAUGUCGGUUUUUUAAAACCGAAGAUCCAGGGUUUGAUCCCUUGCUGGGCCU